AGGUUAAGCUAAUAAGAGCGCACGGAGGAUGCCUAGGCACUAGGAGCCGAAGAAGGACGUGGCGAACGACGAAAUGCCUCGGGGAGCCGUAUGCAGGCUUUGAUCCGGGGAUGUCCGAAUGGGGGAACCCAGCUGUGGUAAUGCGCAGUUACCCUGCAGUGAAUACAUAGCUGCAGAGGAGGUAUACCGAGGGAACUGAAACAUCUAAGUACCUCGAGGAGAAGAAAACAAAUAGUGAUUCCGUCAG
rnacentral:rRNA from 1 species